CUUUUGUUCAUAUUGUAAGUAUAGUUCUGCUUAGUGCAGUGCAGCAAUGUGUGGAACACCGCUUCGCAGUACUACGAUCGGCCAAUUCUUCGAAUUCAAUUAAGAAAAUGUUCAGCGUCUGCAAGUAUGGGGUAAUUCCAUGAAAUAGCGCUGCUUGCAGUUUGCGCACCUACUAAAAGACGGUCGCUGCUCAGAACACUGCAGGUCUAUUCCACUUGAAAUGGAAAUUCUCAGCCAUCGUUAGCUUCUUUCUGCUACUCUCAACAGACAUAGGAAUCUCCACCGAUGGUUCUAACGAUGGGACCGCAUCCCCCAAUGGUACGCCAGCAACAACCGAUUCUUCUGAUACUUCGGACCCACCGACACCACCCAUCAAGAAGCGGAAGACAAUUUGAAGACCUUGACAGAUGGAAUUUUGAAGGAGGUAGGAGCACAGAAUGAAAUGCAGAGCGAUUUCAUUGGACCGCCACCUUGCAAUGCAUUCGCGUGACGACAUUACCUUCAUAAUAAUUUGCCUUGAAGAACAAAAUUGUUCUUUACUGUUGCUGCUGGAGUGGUGACCUCAGCCAGUUGAUGCCUUGAUCAUCAACUGGCUGGUGAAGCCACUGCAGCAGCAACAGUCCAGACCAAUCUUGUUAUUGAAGACAAAGUUAGGACCGUCGCGAAGAGAAAUCUGGACUUGGACUACCUCCUAAUAUCAUUUUUAUAACGUUUUUACAAAUUGAGUAAAAUGUAAUCAAUACUUGGACUAAUCUUAAAUUGU